AAGAUAAAUUGGACUCCCUUAAAAAUUGUAUACUUCUGUAUAUCAAAGGACACUAUCAAAGUGAAAAAACAACUUAAGAAUAGGAGAAGAUAUUUGCAAAUCACAUUUCUGGUAAGGGUCUAGUAUCCAGCAUAUAUAAAGAACCCAUAACACUCAAUGAAAGAUAAGUAACCCAAUUUAAAAAUGGGCAAAAUAUUUGAAUAAAUAUUUCUCAAAAAAAUGUACACAUGCCAGCAAGCAUAUGAAAAAUGUUCAACAUCAUUAUUUAUUAGAGGAAUGCAAAUCAAAACCACAAUAAGACACCACCUCACUCUCACUAGGAUAGCUAUAAUUUUUUAAAAUGGGAACUAAGUAUUUGUAAAGAUUUGGAGAAUCUGGAGCAUUGUACAUUGCUGGUGGGAUUGUAAAAUGAUGCAGCUUCUUUGGAAAGCACUUUGGUUAUUCUCACAAAAUUAAACAUAAAAUUACCAUAUGACCCAGCAAUUUCAUUCCUAGAUACAUACCCAAGGUAAUUUUUUAAAUGUUUUUUAUUAAUGUAUGUGGAUUUACAAUGUGUCAAUUUCUGCAGUAUAGCAAAGUGACAUAUAUAUAUAUAUAUAUAUAUUCCUUUUCUUACAUUAUCUCCCAUCAUGUUUUAUCACAUUUGAUAUAAUUCCCUGUGUUAUAUACAGUAGGACUUUAUUCCUUAUCCAUUCUAAAUGUAAUAGCUUGCAUUCUACCAACCCCAAACUCCCUGUCCAUCUCACUCCCUCCCCCUUGGCAACCACAAAUCUGUUCUCCAUGUUUGUGAGUUUGUUUCUGUUCUGUUGAUAGAUUCAUUUGCGCCCUAUCUUCCCUUCCAUGUAUAAGUGACAUCAUAAGGUAUUUGUCUUUCUCUUUCUGACUUAUUUCACUUAGUAUAAGACUCUAGUUAUAUUCAUGUUGCUGCAAAUGGCAUUAUUUUGUUCUUUUUGUGUCUGAGUAGUAAGUAUUCCAUUGUGUAUAUGUACCACAUCUUAAUCCAUUCAUCUGUCAGUGGACAUUUAGGUUGUUUCAGUGUCUUUGCUAUUGUGAAGAGGGCUGCUAUAAACAUAUGGGCACAUGUGCCUUUUUGUUUGUUUGUUUUACAUUGUUUUGUCUUUAUAGGGCCACACUCAUGGCAAAUGGAAGAUCCCAGGCUAGGAGUUGAAUCAGAGCUGCAUCUGCUGGCCUAUAGCAAGCCAUAGCAAGGCCAGAAUCCCAGCCAUGUCUGUGAUCUAUAGCACAGCUCAUGGCAAUGCUGGAUCCUUAACCCACUGAAUGAGGCCAGGGAUUGAACCCACAUCCUCAUGCAUAUUAGUCAGGUUCGUUACCACUGAGCAACAACAGGAACUCUGCAUGUGUCUUUUUGAAUUAUAGUUUUGUCCUAAUAUAUGCCCAGGAGUGGGAUUGCUGGAUCAUAUGGUAGUUUAGUUUUCUGAGGAACCUCCAUACUGUUUUCCAUAGUGGUUGUACCAAUUUACAUUCCCAUCAACAAUUUACAUUCCCUCUAAAAGAGGGCUCCCUUUUCUCCACACUCUGUCCAGCAUUUGUUAUUUGUAAACUUAUUAGUGAUAGCCAUUCUGACUGGUGUGAGGUGGUACCUCACUGUAGUUGUGAUUUACAUUUCUCUAAUAAUUGGUGAUGCUGAACAUUCUUUCAUGUGCCGUCUGGCCAUCCAUAUGUCUUCUGUGGAGAAAUGUCUAUUCAGGUCUUCUGCCCAUUUUUCAAUUGGGUUUUUUGUUGUUGUUGUAUGAGUUGUUUGUAUAUUUUGCCCUUGCAUCAUUUGCAACUAUUUUCAAUUGCAUCAUUUGCAACUAUUUUCUCCCAUUCCAUAGGUUGUCUUUUUUUUUUUUUUUUUAUGGUUUCCUUUGCUGUGCAAAAGCUCAUAGGUUUGAUUAGGUCUCAUUGGUUUAUUUUUGUUUUUAUUUCUACUACCUUGGGAGACUGACCUAAGAAAAUAUUUUUAUGGUUGAUGUCAGAGAAUGUUUUGCCUGUGUUCUAGGAGUUUGAUGGUGUCUUGUCUUACAUUUAAGUCUUUAAGCCAUUUUGAGUUAAUUUUGUGCAUGGUGUGAGGAUGUGUUCUACUUUCAUUGAUUUACAUGCAGCAGUCCAGUUUUGCCAGUAAUACUUGCUUGAAGAGACUCUCUUUUUCCCAUUUUAUAUUCUUGCCUCCUUGUUGAAGAUUAACUGACCAUAGGUGCCUGGGUUUAUUUCUGGGCUCUCUAUUCUGUUCCAUUGGUCUGUAUGUCUGUUUUUGUACCACUACCACACUAUCUUGAUGACUGUAACUUUGUAAAAUUGUCUGAAGUCUGGAAGAAUUAUGCCUCCUGCUUGUUUUACUUCCCUCAGGGUUGCUUUGGCAAUUCUGAGUCAUUUAUGAUUCUAUACAAUUUUUAGAUUGUUUGUUCUAGUUCUGUGAAAAAUUUCAUAGGUAAUUUGAUAGGGAUAGCAUUAUAUCUCUAUAUUGCUUUGGGUAGUAUGGCCAUUUUAAUGAUACUAAUUCUUUCAAUCCAGGAGCAUGGGUUGUCUUUCCGUUUCUUUAAAUCCUCUCUAAUGUCCUUGAUUAUUGUUUUAUUGUUCUCAGCAUAUAAGUCCUUCACCUCCUUAGGUUUACUCCUGGGUAUUUAAUUUUUUUGGUGUGAUACCAAAAUAAUUAAAAACAGAUAUUCAAACAAAUAUUUGUACGUGAACAAUGGGUGAAUGAAUUAAAAAAAUGUGAUAUAUCUACAUCAUGGAAUAUUAUUCAGCCAUAAAAAGGAAUAUGGUACUUUCUUUCUUUCUUUUUUUUUUUUUUUUUUUUUGUUUUUUAGGGCUGCUCUUGCAGCAUAUGGAGGUUCCCAGGCUAGGGGUCAAAUCAGAGCCGUAGCUGCUGGCCACAGCCACAGCCACAGCAAUGCUGGAACAAAGCCGCAUCUGCAACCUACACCACAGCUCACAGCAAUGCAGGAUCCUUAACCCACUGAACAAGGCCAGGGAUCGAACCUGUAUCCUCAUGGAUGGUACUCAGAUUUGUUUCUGCUAAGCCAUGAUGGGAACUCCAGAAUGUGGUGCUUCUAUAUACUACAAUGUAGAUGAAUCUUGAAAACAUUUUUCUAAGUGAAAGAAGCCCAAAAUAAAACGUUACAUAUUGUAUGAUUCCAUUUAUACAAAUAUACAGAAUACUUAAAUCUAAAGCAGAUUGAGGUGUGGCAGGAACAGGGAGGAAAAGAGAAAGAGGGGUUGACUGCUUAAUGGGUAUGAUAUCUCCCUUGUGAGUGAAAAAAUACUUUGGAACUAGAUAGAGGUGGUGGUUGUACAACAUUGUGAACAUACUAAAUGCCACUGAAUUAUAUAUUCUUAGAUGGUUAAUUUCAUGUUAUAUGAAUUUUACUUAAAAAAACAUCAGCCACAAAAAGCAGUAGCCAACAAUUAUACAAUAAUUUUAGGUAUCAAGCUCUGUUCUAAAUUCUUUACUUAUAUUAACUCAAUUCUCAUAACAAACAUAUUACUUAUAUAUGUACAUUAUCAACAAACACAUACUUAUUAACAAACAUAUGUGAUUAUCCCUGUUUUACAGAUGAGGAAAUUGAGGAACAAAGAGGACAAAUGACUUGCCCAAAGUUAUUCAGUUAAUGGCAGAGGUUGGAAUUUAAAUCCAGGUAAUGAAAUUCCAGAUUCUUACCUCUUAACCAUUAUUCCAGAAAUAAAAGAAGUGUCAAAUAUGAAUAAAGAGCAAGAGAUUAUAAAAACAACAAAUCGGGAGUUGGCCUAGCAGUUAAGGAUCCGGCAUUAUCACUGCUGUGUCAUGGGUUUGAUCCCUGGCCCAGGAACUUCCAUGUGUCAUGGGCACAAACAAAAAAAGAAAAACUGAAAAUGACAAAUAAGAUUUGAAAUAUAAUCAAAAACAGUACUUCCAGAAAUUAAAAAAAAAAAAAGAAUAACUGAAUUUUAAACUCGGAAGACACAACGUAGAGUACUAACCACUAUAUGAUCACAGCCAGGUUUAAUAGCCCAGCAAAUACGACUGAAUGAAGAAUUAGAGCAGUGGAAGCUAUGAAGAAGUUCUGAAUGUAGUACAGAGAGACGUAAAGCAUCUAAGACACAUACCCAUGUGAGUCAGUCUAAAACAUAUAUAAAGGGAACGAAUUCAAUUUAUUGCCUCUAGGCUCUAAAUGUACCUUUCGAUUAAUCUAUUCUCUGUGAUAAACAACUGAAUUUCUUUAAGAUUUCCCUUUAAAAUGAACGCAAUGUUAGGCUUUCUCAGUAGAGGGCAUUGGAGGGAUAUUGCAGGAAGAAAGAGGUUCUCCAGCUGUUCCUGGUGUGGCCUAGGGCUUGUGGAUGGUGUGGCUAUGAAGACAUCUAAUAAAUUUCCACAAGCCUGGAACACAAUUCAUCUGUGACCUUGCAGCCUUGGUCAGGCGAUAAUCUUUUUGCAGCCCCUUUGACAUGGAAACCAAAUUUCCUACAUGGCCUGCACACAGCUUCUUGUGGCCUGGAGGGUUACACAUCUGAACAGCCUAUGUGCAGCUCAUCUGUAGUCCAGAGGUCCACACAGGACUGCCAGUUCCUCUGCAAAUAAGACAGAUUUCCUGCACAAAAACAAAAGGUCGAUUGACUGAAGAGCAGGAAUGAAAACUUUCUCAACAACAGAGGAAAGAAGAUAGUGGAAUAUUAACUUCAAUACACUGAGAAGAAAUAGCUAUAAUUCUAUACUAAGGAAAAUAUCUUUCAAGAAUAAGGAUGAAUGACAUGAACAACUUUGAAAAACAUGAUAUUGAACAAAAGAAGUAAAAAAAAAACCAUAGUGCGUGAUUCUAUGAUUCUAUUUGCAUGACAUCCAAGAAGAGACAAAAUUACACUAUGAUGCUAGAAACCAGAACAGUGAUUACCUGGAAUGGAAGCAAUCUGAUUAUAGAGAAGCACACAAGGGAAGUUUCUAGGAUGAAAUGUUCUCUGUCUUAACAGGGGUAUGAUUACACAAGUAUGUAUUUGCCAAAACUCACUGAACUGUGCACUCUGAUGGUUGAUUUUAUGUAUUAACUUGACUGGGCCAAAGGAUGCUCAGAUAACUGUUGAAACAUUAUUUCUGGGUGUGUUGGUGAGGGUCUUUUCAAAGGAGAUCAGCAUUUGAAUCUGUAAACUAAGUGAAUCAAAUUGUCCUCUCUAAUGUGAGUCAGCAGCAUCACCCAAUCCAUUGAAGGCCUAAAAAAGAACAAAAAUGCAAAGGAAGAAAUAAUUUGCUCUCUGCCUCAUUACACAAAUUUGAACUUGGGUGUUCUUUCAAAGCUGUUUGAUAUACAAGCAUCCUUUAAAAGAUAAUCUGGAACAAAAGAAUCCAGUGCCUUUGCUCACAAGAUGUUCAGAAAUAUCAGAGAAUUGUCUCCCAAUAUUUCAGAAUAAAUUGGGUAUAUGAAUUUCUUUACUGCAAAAUUUAUGAAACUGAAUACAUAUCAAAAGGUAUCAUGCAAAUUGAGAUUGAACUAAGUACAAAAUUUGCAAUAGAUUUUGAAGAUUUAGUAUGAAAAAAAGAAUGUAAAAAUC
rnacentral:lncRNA from 1 species